rnacentral:ncRNA from 2 species
UCUUUUGUAGGGCAUAUCGGUUUCUACGCUUAACGCAAAGAAUGAAAAGGGAAUCAGGUGUAAAUCCUGAGCUAUCCCCGUAGCUGUAAGCUCCUUUACUUGUUUAAUCUCCAUGCCACUGUUGAAAAAAACGGGAAGGCCUUAAACAAGGGAGUAAGUCAGAAGACCUGCCGGUAUCAAGUAUUAAGU